UACGGGGGGGGCAAGCGUUGUUCGGAAUUACUGGGCUUAAAGGGCUCGUAGGUGGCCAACUAAGUCAAACGUGAAAUCCCUCGGCUUAACCGGGGAACUGCGUCUGAUACUGGAUGGCUUGAGUUUGGGAGAGGGAUGCGGAAUUCCAGGUGUAGCGGUGAAAUGCGUAGAUAUCUGGAGGAACACCGGUGGCGAAGGCGGCGUCCUGGACCAACACUGACACUGAGGAGCGAAAGCCAGGGGAGCAAACGGG
rnacentral:rRNA from 1 species